GAAGCUACGCGAAGAACCUUACCAGGUCUUGACAUACUAUGCAAAUCUAAGAGAUUAGACGUUCCCUUCGGGGACAUGGAUACAGGUGGUGCAUGGUUGUCGUCAGCUCGUGUCGUGAGAUGUUGGGUUAAGUCCCGCAACGAGCGCAACCCUUAUUAUCAGUUGCCAGCAUUAAGUUGGGCACUCUGGUGAGACUGCCGGUGACAAACCGGAGGAAGGUGGGGAUGACGUCAAAUCAUCAUGCCCCUUAUGACCUGGGCUACACACGUGCUACAAUGGAUGGUACAACGAGUUGCGAACUCGCGAGAGUAAGCUAAUCUCUUAAAGCCAUUCUCAGUUCGGAUUGUAGGCUGCAACUCGCCUACAUGAAGUCGGAAUCGCUAGUAAUCGCGGAUCAGCAUGCCGCGGUGAAUACGUUCCCGGGCCUUGUACACACCGCCCGUCACACCAUGAGAGUUUGUAACACCCAAAGUCGGUGGGGU
rnacentral:rRNA from 1 species